CAUGCAAGUCGAACGGCAGCAUGAUCUAGCUUGCUAGAUUGAUGGCGAGUGGCGAACGGGUGAGUAAUACAUCGGAACGUGCCCUGUAGUGGGGGAUAACUAGUCGAAAGAUUAGCUAAUACCGCAUACGACCUGAGGGUGAAAGUGGGGGACCGCAAGGCCUCAUGCUAUAGGAGCGGCCGAUGUCUGAUUAGCUAGUUGGUGAGGUAAAGGCUCACCAAGGCGACGAUCAGUAGCUGGUCUGAGAGGACGAUCAGCCACACUGGGACUGAGACACGGCCCAGACUCCUACGGGAGGCAGCAGUGGGGAAUUUUGGACAAUGGGCGAAAGCCUGAUCCAGCAAUGCCGCGUGUGUGAAGAAGGCCUUCGGGUUGUAAAGCACUUUUGUCCGGAAAGAAAUGGCUCUGGUUAAUACCUGGGGUCGAUGACGGUACCGGAAGAAUAAGGACCGGCUAACUACGUGCCAGCAGCCGCGGUAAUACGUAGGGUCCAAGCGUUAAUCGGAAUUACUGGGCGUAAAGCGUGCGCAGGCGGUUGUGCAAGACCGAUGUGAAAUCCCCGAGCUUAACUUGGGAAUUGCAUUGGUGACUGCACGGCUAGAGUGUGUCAGAGGGGGGUAGAAUUCCACGUGUAGCAGUGAAAUGCGUAGAGAUGUGGAGGAAUACCGAUGGCGAAGGCAGCCCCCUGGGAUAACACUGACGCUCAUGCACGAAAGCGUGGGGAGCCAACCAGGAUUAGAUACCCUGGUAGUCCACGCCUUAAACGAUGUCAACUAGUUGUUGGGGAUUCAUUUCCUUAGUAACGUAGCUAACCGCGUGAAGUUGACCGCCUGGGGAGUACGGUCGCAAGAUUAAAACUCAAAGGAAUUGACGGGGACCCGCACAAGCGGUGGAUGAUGUGGAUUAAUUCGAUGCAACGCGAAAAACCUUACCUACCCUUGACAUGCCACUAACGAAGCAGAGAUGCAUUAGGUGCUCGAAAGAGAAAGUGGACACAGGUGCUGCAUGGCUGUCGUCAGCUCGUGUCGUGAGAUGUUGGGUUAAGUCCCGCAACGAGCGCAACCCUUGUCUCUAGUUGCUACGAAAGGGCACUCUAGAGAGACUGCCGGUGACAAACCGGAGGAAGGUGGGGAUGACGUCAAGUCCUCAUGGCCCUUAUGGGUAGGGCUUCACACGUCAUACAAUGGUGCAUACAGAGGGUUGCCAAGCCGCGAGGUGGAGCUAAUCCCAGAAAAUGCAUCGUAGUCCGGAUCGUAGUCUGCAACUCGACUACGUGAAGCUGGAAUCGCUAGUAAUCGCGGAUCAGCAUGCCGCGGUGAAUACGUUCCCGGGUCUUGUACACACCGCCCGUCACACCAUGGGAGUGGGCUUUACCAGAAGUAGUUAGCCUAACCGCAAGGAGGGCG
rnacentral:rRNA from 1 species